GACGUAACAUCAGGUAAAAAACCACGUCGGGGUGCCUUAAUUCCGUCUGCUGUACCGCUGUACUGUGACUUUUCGUUUACUUUUAUCCUGUUAAUUUUGAUGGGAGGGGACUUUUGUUGUGCGGUUGGUUGCCACAACCAUCGGGCUGCAGACAAAAACGUCACCUUCCACACGUUUCCGCGAGACCUACCGCGGCGGGCAAGAUGGGUAGCCGCAGUGCGCCGGAAACACUGGGUUCCCACAAAGAGAUCGCGCUUGUGCAGCGAACACUUUUCAGAAGAUAGCUACGAGCUCGGCUCGAGGCUCGCGAGAGAAUUUGGCCUUGGACAGAAGUCUCCAAAACUCAAGUUUGACGCAGUACCAACGAUUUUCUGCUACGUCGUUGCGCCACCAACUCGUCACCGUGGAGCCUUCGCGAAGAGGAGACGCAAAGAUCUUGUUGACGAAGCCAUCGCUGCAAGCACAGCGACAGAUGUCGCCAGUUCAGUCCUGGAUCCAGGUCCGAAUCCCCACCCAGUUGAAAAUGAAAGCCCUGAUCAAGAGUGGGGGCAGGCUCCGGUGGACAUCUGUGGACUUUCGCCAGAAGCUGCACAGGGUCCGAAAGAGGUCUCCGCUUCGGUCCAAACGGAGGGGGUCCAAGCGUGCACACAGUCAGUGCAGACCAAGGUGAAAGCCAGCAGUGUAGGAACCCAAACUACAUUUGCAUAUCAGCAAAGAAGCGUAAACUGAGACCCCCCAAGAAAGCGGUCCUAGCAUAUCUGAGCCUGUGCUAGUAGUGGAAGCUGCAAAACAGAUGGCGACUCCGACUCAAAUCAGUGUGGAGAGCUGAACAAGCUCUCGUUGACAGUCUGGGAGGGUGCUCCCUACGGCUGGCCUGUGACGUUUGGUGCGACUCCCUCGGCUCUUCUGCCCUUUACGGGACACACUCCCUGCUCGAUACAGGCGUCAACCGCUUCAUUCACCUGAAGCUCAUAAAGGUGGGCAUAAUGAAUGUCUUGCACCAUAAUAUUAUGCUGUAAAUGGAUUGUCGCCUCAAGAAAAGUGUGAGGUUUGCUCAGUGUUGUGCUGCAUGAGGUAGUCCUUCCGAGAUUUUGGUCGUCCGAGGAGCAGGCAUCUUUUUGUGCUUGAAAUGAGCAUGUGUAAAUAAAACAAUAUACAACCAACUUUAAAUACACAGACAGUCCACUUCCAUUAAUUCAACCUGAUUGGGGCAUGCACAAUCAGUUCAAAUUAUUUUGAAGAUGAAUUGCAUGCGUAAUUUGCACUAAAUUUUACCUUAAUUAUUCACUCGAAAUAAGCCACGAUGAUGGUCUGCACUCUCGCUCGGAAGCGGGCACUGGGCGAAUGAUCUUGAGAGAUUGCGAUGCGCUCCAAAGUGUGCUCAGCACACUCACAUCAGCUUCCCGAUUAAAUAGAGCAAUCUUUCUCGUAGGCCUCGGUAAUGCUUCCCUCGUUCUUCGCAUUAGUCGUAAGAGUGCUUUCUCGUUCCGCAUAAACUUUCUUCGAUCUUGGUCGUCGAAGAUGGCAGCCUUCGUCGCAACAUCGACCAUUUUGCGCUUGUCACUGGUUGUGCAUGGCCGUUACGAGUCGCGGAGAACGUCAACACCAACGGACGUUGCAACCAUCACAGGCAAGGCCAGGAAAGAUUGCCAACAGUGCAAAGAGAAACGAGAAGCGCGCACAGCUUUGGAGCUGACGGGGAUCGGAGAACCGGGCAAAACACGAGAGGCGAGCAGACGAGACAUUCCUUGUGCCACAAUGCGACUAUCGUCAUUGUGGCACAAGGAAUGUGCAUUCAUCUGUUGCUAUAGCCUCAUUUACAUGAAGGUGACAAAGACUUACCGACUCCGAGUCACACAAGGGACGGAGUCAGUGCAUCACUGUUUUUAUGGAUGUGCAAAGUCCCGAGCAAAGCUAGUGUCGCACAGCAUUACAUCUCAAAGUCGGAGCUGCAGUUUCAGUGUCGUAGAUUUCUGAAAACAUUCCCACAAAGUUCGAAAGAGUGAGCACCACAGAUCACUAAAAGAUAACAUUAAAAAGAAAAAAAAACAUAAUUUUGCUGUACUUUCCUUUUAAAAUUUUCCAGUACGUUCGCAAAGGCUGCCAUUGAAUAACGUUGGUUGCCGUCAUAUCACGAAUGCUUCCAUCUUCUCCCAACCGAUACUUUACUAAAAAGAAUCCGAUUUCCCUGCAUCAUGAGUUGAGGGGCUUGCUGAUAUUCAUCUUGCUUACUACUGCAAAAAUUGCUUGCAUUUCGUCACAAGAAAAAAAAAAUGUUUGUGCAAAGACAUGGCCCCGUUACCUCUUCCGCUACUGCCACCAUUCUCUUAGCUGUCCAAUGCUAUCCCACUUCAGUCCCACAGCGAAUGCCUUCUUAUAAUCCUGUUUUUUGCUCAAUGCGACGUGACUUUCGUGUACAUGCAUUCCAUGAACGCGUAUUUGGUGGCUCGAUCCACCUUUGCCUAGCUGCUUGAAUGUGGUGCACUUUCCUAGCAAAU
rnacentral:misc_RNA from 1 species